GAUGAAGAACGCAGCGAAAUGCGAUAAGUAAUGUGAAUUGCAGAAUUCAGUGAAUCAUCGAAUCUUUGAACGCACAUUGCGCCCGUCAGUAUUCUGGCGGGCAUGCCUGUUCGAGCGUCAUUACGCCCCUCAAGUCCCCUGUGGACUUGGUGUUGGGGAUCGGCGAGGCUGGUUUUCCAGCACAGCCGUCCCUUAAAUUAAUUGGCGGUCUCGCCGUGGCCCUCCUCUGCGCAGUAGUAAAACACUCGCAACAGGAGCCCGGCGCGGUCCACUGCCGUAAAACCCCCCAACUUUUUAUAGUUGACCUCGAAUCAGGUAGGACUACCCGCCGAACUUAAGCAUAUCAAUAAGCGGAGGA
rnacentral:misc_RNA from 1 species